GAAUAGUCUGCUGCCGCUUUUUGGUAGAGCCGGCGAGAUGUAGAUGUAUGCACUAUAGCCGUGGCCUGACAGGUGUCAGCUGCAAUUCAGUUGUUUGCCGCGAGGAGUCGGCUGCCCAUCGUUCCUUCAAGGU
ensembl:ncRNA T12D8.11 ncRNA